UACGUAGGGGGCAAGCGUUGUCCGGAAUCAUUGGGCGUAAAGCGCGUGUAGGCGGCUUGGUAAGUCUGCUCUGAAAGCCCGGGGCUCAACCCCGGGAGGCGGGUGGAUACUGUCAAGCUCGAGUCCGGAAGAGGAGUGUGGAAUUCCUGGUGGUAAGCGGUGAAAUGCGCAGAUAUCAGGAAGGAACACCAAUGGCGAAGGCAGCACUCUGGGACGUGACUGACGGCUGAGGCACGAAAGUGUGGGGAUCAAACAGG
rnacentral:rRNA from 1 species